GGGGCCUGAGGGAGGCUGCUAUUAAUGCCCGUCUCCAGGCGUGGCAUCGAGGACAGCUUCUGCUCAGAGCAAAGCUGUACUGGGGGUCAGUGUCUGUAUUGCCCGCAGCGUGUCCCUGAAACCAAGAGAGAACGGCCUGAAGAGGACGAGGAAUCCCGUUGGACUUGGUCAUUCUGUUUUCGGGGUACUCUGUUUGGUUUUGCCUUCUAUUAACAGCAGGUGAUAACGAUUUUUAUUUAAUUUGCACACACUUAUUUAAUUUGCAAAAUAAGUGUGUGAGUAAAAAAGAACAAAUAGGUUGAUUUACGGGGGAUAAUUAGGAGGCUUGUGAGUGCUUAGACAUGGCAGAGGACAUAGAAAGCCUGGGUCCCAGGUUCCUGUGAGCCUGGCUUCCCUCCAGGGGUCCCCAAGGCUCUGGCCCCUACAUCCCUCCGGGGUUGUGCCGUCUCUUCUUUCUCAGCUCACCGGGUAGCCCUUUUUGGUCUAGCUGAGAGGCUGAUGCAUGACCAGGAACAGCCUCCUGAGAUGGCUGGGGCCUUGAGUUUCAAAAUCCUGGCCUCAGAUUGACACGGUUUACAGAGACUCUCCACAUGUGGACAGAAACGUUCCAGCCUCCCGUCUUGGAAUCCCAGAAAGUUCAUGGCGAUGAUAGUAGCAAUGGCUCAUCUUCAGCGAGGGCUUCCUAUGGACCAGGCACUCUGCUAAGCCUUCCCUCAGCAUCACAGUUAUUCUCCACACCAAUCCACAAGGGAGCUACAACUCUUACUGCAUUUCACAGAUAAGGACAAGGAAGCUCAGAGACAUGACGCUACUUGUCCAAGGUCACACAGCGGGAAAAUGAGGAAGCCAGGUUUCAGAACCCAGAACUCAGUCUUAACCCAUGGUUUGAACUGGGAAGAAGCUUCAAGAUCUACUGUGACAGAUUAGGAAUCUGCAGCCCAGAGAGGAGAUGUGACAAGCCAGGGCCACUUGGUGAACAGCCCCAGGGAUGAGCAGAACCCUCGUGUCUCCAGCCACCGGCUUGUGGUUAUGGCAGUUCCAUCCAAACUUUCAUAUUUUAAAAAUCAGUCUCUCAUCCAGAUUACGAUCUCCCGAGAGCUUUUCUCCCCACUGUUCUUAUCUCUGCCCCCUUCCUCCCUGCCCCCCCCACCUCUGUGUUCCCAGUGGGCGCUAAUCCAUCACAACUGACUGAUGGCUGACUGACUGCUGACACCUGCCGCCGCCCCUGCCUCAGCUCGCGGAGGAACUGCCUGUCUCCAGGUGGGUGGACUGUCUCCAUGGGGAACUCCCAGAAGCUGGGAUAUGGUCACAGCUUUUCAGCCCUCUCACGCUGCUUGUGGGGGCCCAGCUUCAGGACCCUGGUACCUGGGGACCUCAGGGGGUGCUGGACAGCUUGAACAGACCUACUGAGUGCCAGGCACCCCAGCAAAGCAGUAACCAGGGAGCCAAAAAAAGGUUCCAGUGUUUUAAGACAAAAUAUCUCGAAAGAAGCUAUUUAAUUUUAGCAUUACAAGUAAAUACAGUGUCACUCGGAGAA